AAACACCUGGUUCCAGCUUCGGCAGACCUGUGAUGCAUGAGCACGAUCCAGAAGGGGCAAGUACUGAAAUACCUGCAGGAUAAUGUCUUGGAGCAGGUUACCCCAGUCAGGGCUCCGCACAACUGUGGUUCUCUCAUCUACACUCUUGUGCCUCUUGGAUUCUUUCUCAGCUGUCUCUUCAGAUGAACUGUUGUUGGCCUCAUUAGUCUUCCUUCCUCGUUUCAUUCUGGCGGCUCCCUGCUGCGCCUCGCGUCAACCGGGGCUCGGGCCGCGCUGCCGCCUCCACUCCGACCACAUGAGCCCCUCCACCGCAGCCGACCCCAGCGCCUCCUUCGCCCGGUGUCACGUCGCUCUCGGC
rnacentral:lncRNA from 1 species